GUUGGUGGGGUAAUGGCCUACCAAGGCUUCGACGGGUAGCCGGCCUGAGAGGGUGACCGGUCACACUGGGACUGAGACACGGCCCAGACUCCUACGGGAGGCAGCAGUGGGGAAUAUUGGACAAUGGGCGGAAGCCUGAUCCAGCAACGCCGCGUGAGGGAUGACGGCCUUCGGGUUGUAAACCUCUUUCACCAUUGACGAAGUCGCACAGUGUGUGUGGUGACGGUAGGUGGGGAAGAAGCACCGGCCAACUACGUGCCAGCAGCCGCGGUAAUACGUAGGGUGCGAGCGUUGUCCGGAAUUAUUGGGCGUAAAGGGCUCGUAGGCGGUUUGUCGCGUCGGAAGUGAAAACACGGGGCUUAACUCUGUGCUGGCUUUCGAUACGGGCAGACUAGAGGGAUGCAGGGGAGAACGGAAUUCCUGGUGUAGCGGUGAAAUGCGCAGAUAUCAGGAGGAACACCGGUGGCGAAGGCGGUUCUCUGGGCAUUCCCUGACGCUGAGGAGCGAAAGUGUGGGGAGCGAACAGGAUUAGAUACCCUGGUAGUCCACACCGUAAACGUUGGGCGCUAGG
rnacentral:rRNA from 1 species